AUUGAACGCUGGCGGCAGGCCUAACACAUGCAAGUCGAGCGCGCGGCGGACGGGUGAGUAAUGUAUGGGGGUCUGCCCGAUAGAGGGGGAUAACUACUCGAGACGGUAUCGAAUACACCAUACUCUAUGAUGAGCCCCCAUGGGGGUAGCUAGUAGGUGGGGUAAUGGCUCACCCAGGCGACGAUCCCUAGCUGGUCUGAGAGGAUGAUCAGCCACACUGGAACUGAGACACGGCCCAGACUCCUACGGGAGGCAGCAGUGGGGAAUAUUGCACAAUGGGCGCAAGCCUGAUGCAGCCAUGCCGCGUGUAUGAAGAAGGCCCUAGGGUUGUAAAGUACUUUCAGUCGGGAGGCGUUACCGACAGAAGAAGCACCGGCUAACUCCGUGCCAGCAGCCGCGGUAAUUC
rnacentral:rRNA from 1 species